UACCUCUAGCUUCCUUAUCCCUCAAACCUAAAAAUAAUAGUUUGAGUGGCUAAACAAAGAGGAAAUGGUAAACUGAAAUGGGCUUGGGGUCUUUAGUGACAAACAAGGCCAUCUCAAACAAAA
rnacentral:snoRNA from 1 species